rnacentral:rRNA from 1 species
UACAGAGGUGGCAAGCGUUGUUCGGAAUUACUGGGCGUAAAGGGCGCGUAGGCGGCCCUCUAGGUCAGACGUGAAAUCCCCCGGCUUAACCUGGGAACUGCGUCUGAUACUGGAGGGCUUGAGUAUGGGAGAGGGAUGUAGAAUUCCAGGUGUAGCGGUGAAAUGCGUAGAUAUCUGGAGGAAUACCGGUGGCGAAGGCGGCAUCCUGGACCAUUACUGACGCUGAGGCGCGAAAGCUAGGGGAGCAAACGGG